AGAGUUUGAUCCUGGCUCAGAGCGAACGCUGGCGGCAGGCUUAACACAUGCAAGUCGAACGGGCACCUUCGGGUGUCAGUGGCAGACGGGUGAGUAACACGUGGGAACGUGCCCUUUGGUUCGGAACAACUCCGGGAAACUGGAGCUAAUACCGGAUAAGCCCUUCGGGGGAAAGAUUUAUCGCCAAAGGAUCGGCCCGCGUCUGAUUAGCUAGUUGGUGAGGUAACGGCUCACCAAGGCGACGAUCAGUAGCUGGUCUGAGAGGAUGAUCAGCCACACUGGGACUGAGACACGGCCCAGACUCCUACGGGAGGCAGCAGUGGGGAAUAUUGGACAAUGGGCGAAAGCCUGAUCCAGCCAUGCCGCGUGAGUGAUGAAGGCCUUAGGGUUGUAAAGCUCUUUCGGCGGGGACGAUAAUGACGGUACCCGCAGAAGAAGCCCCGGCUAACUUCGUGCCAGCAGCCGCGGUAAUACGAAGGGGGCUAGCGUUGCUCGGAAUCACUGGGCGUAAAGGGCGCGUAGGCGGAUCUUUAAGUCAGAGGUGAAAGCCCAAGGCUCAACCUUGGAAUUGCCUUUGAUACUGAAGAUCUUGAGACCGGUAGAGGUAAGUGGAACUGCGAGUGUAGAGGUGAAAUUCGUAGAUAUUCGCAAGAACACCAGUGGCGAAGGCGGCUUACUGGACCGGUUCUGNNGCUGANNNNNGAAAGCGUGGGGAGCAAACAGGAUUAGAUACCCUAGUAGUCC
rnacentral:rRNA from 1 species